AUUGAACGCUGGCGGCAUGCCUUACACAUGCAAGCCGAACGGUAACAGGUUAAGCUGACGAGUGGCGAACGGGUGAGUAAUGUAUCGGAACGUGCCCAGUCGUGGGGGAUAACUACUCGAAAGAGUGGCUAAUACCGCAUACGACCUGAGGGUGAAAGCGGGGGACCGUAAGGCCUCGCGAGAUUGGAGCGGCCGAUAGCAGAUUAGCUAGGUGGUGGGGUAAGAGCCCACCAAGGCGACGAUCUGUAGCUGGUCUGAGAGGACGAGCAGCCACACUGGGACUGAGACACGGCCCAGACUCCUACGGGAGGCAGCAGUGGGGAAUUUUGGACAAUGGACGCAAGUCUGAUCCAGCCAUGCCGCGUGCGGGAAGAAGGCCUUCGGGUUGUAAACCGCUUUUGUCAGGGAAGAAACGAGUUUCUCUAAUACAGAGACUUAAUGACGGUACCUGAAGAAUAAGCACCGGCUAACUACGUGCCAGCCGCCGCGGUAAUAC
rnacentral:rRNA from 1 species